rnacentral:misc_RNA from 1 species
GUGCACGCUACAAUAUUUUUUUAAAUGUUGACUAGCAACCUUUUUUUUCCUUCAUGCCAAAUAUGGAUGCUAAUAUACCCACAGAUCCAUCAUUGCUGUCAUUAAUAUACCACAGUGCUACUCACAGUACCUAUCAGAGUUGAAUCCAAGUGAGCCCGCCAGCGUACUUGGCAGUUGCUUCUCAUCACUUUCAUAUUGAUUGUUAUUACUCCACCUACAACUGACGCCGCGGCGAAUCCGUUCUUUUAAUACUACCACGAUCGUCAGUCAGGUGGGGGUAGCUACCCAGGCGAGCUGUACCCGCGACUACUGACAUCUAUGGCGCAGCCACAGCAGCAGAGCCAGUUAUUAAUUCCUCACAGCUCAGAGACCUUGACCUGCCAAAUUCAAGCACAUGCGAUGCGACGCCACGCGACAAAAGAAACAAAAAACAAGGAAGAAGAAAAAAAAAGCACAUGCCGAAUUCACAGCAUCAGAAGCACAGUCUCUUCCUGCACCCGCCGCCGCCGGCCCCGUGCCCGGCCUGCGCCUGCUGCUGCUGCAUCAUCUCGGCAACGAGGUCGCCCACCAGGUCCUGCACGAUGGCACGCUCCAGCGCGGCCGCGACCCUGCCGCGCUCGUCGUCGCCCGCGCCUGCCUGCUGCUGCCGCACCCACAUUAUUGCCUCCCCGACGCUCUCCGCCAUCGCGCGGCUGAUCACCCGCCCCGCCGCCGCGGCCUCCUGCUCCCACCGCCGCCGGUGGUGCCGCCAGCUCUCCGCCCCGGCCGACCUCGGCAUGCCCACCGCCAGCGGCACCGGGUAGUAAUGGACGGCGUGCAGCGGCAGCUCACCGCCUGGUUUGAUCUUGCAGUAGUCGCCUGCACGUACGGAAGCGCACGAUUGAAGUUACGUGGCACAUACCCCAUUGCUGAUUGGUCAAGGAGAAGACAUACGGCAGAUCAUGUGACUUUGGCGCAUAUCGUGAGUCGUGACAGCGACAUGUAUGCUACGUACGUGCGUACGUACCGGAGAAAACAAGGGUUCGGGAGGGCUUCACGAUCUUCGAUCCGACGGCACCGCAAGCGCCCCCCUUGCCACCCACAUCGAGAUCCGUGCAUGGAGACGGCCGCUUCCUGCAUGGGAACCUCGGGGAGCUGAUGGCGUCCAGCACCGAGUCCGGGCUGGGGUGCUGCUGCUGCUGCGUCGGCGGCGAUGGGGACGGCGACGGCGACUGUUCGACGUGUUCGUUGUCGCGGGCGAACGUCCCCGUGGCGCCCUUGCCCGCAUGCGCCGUCGUCUUCGCUGCAGCCGGGCAGACCUCGGACGCGGAGGCCGCGCGCAUCUCCGCGGCGCGGACGGCCGCGAUGAUCCGGCGAAGCGUCUUGAGGUCCUCGUCGCACUUCUCCAGCGCGCCCAGCAGCUUCCGCCGCUUCUCCGCGGCUGUCUCCGGCGCCGCCGCCGGCGGCGGCGGAGGCGGACGACUCGGGACGACUGGCCGCAGCAGCGUCGCGGCGGGCGAGGACGGCGCGGACUCCUCCAGGCCCAUGAGGCGGGCGAUGAUGGCCGGCGGCGGCGCCCGGGGGCUGUCGCAGCUGGAGCGCCGGUGCUCCGGCGCGAUCGUCGGGCUCCGCGGCGCGUCGCAGGAGCGCCGCCGCCGAACAGCGGUCGUCAUCAGCUGCUGCACCGUCGGCUUCGUCGGAGAAGCCGCGGGCGAAGCUGAAGGCUGCUGGGCCGCCGCCUUCUUUCUGGGCGACGACGAGGACGGCGGGGGUGGCGGUGCUUGGGAGGCCCGCGCUGCUGGCGCGUUCUUGGCGGUGAGGCGCUUCCGGUGGUGGCUCCGGUGGUACGGCGAGAUGAGGCGGAGGAGGCCGGCCAUGCACCCAAUGCCACCGCUCCGCCUCUGUGCGGGGGAGCACGUGGAGGGUGCCCGCCGGUUGGCGGCGGGCUCCGGCUGCGGCUGCGGUGGCUGCAUAGCCUCUGUGUUCCCUGAGCCGUUUGUUCAGCCGAGCGGGAGCAGCGAAGCACGGCGUGUGGGGGCGUGCCGCGGCAUUAUAAUUGGAGGCGCGCGUGGAGGGCGCAAUAUAAUGACGGCAUCGCCCCUGUCGCUCCGGCCCUCCCCGCGGCGAUGGCAAGGGCAGCUCAGGGUUUCAUCUCGUGCGAGCUUUGCUAGGGGAGGCGACAAAAGCUGUGGACUGGUGGUGGUGGGGUGGGGCAGUAUCCGAGUUGAACUGCACACUCCGCUGCGCGCGCUGCGGUGGCCGCUAGCCGCGUGCCUUCC